UACUACACUCGGUCUCAUGACAUACGAAUUAUACGAAACGAGUGUCAGAUAACAUAGGAAGGUCACGAUUUCGUAUAAUUCGCAUGUCAUGAGACCGAGUGUGGGUAUUUAUUUAUUACCCUCGUCUUACAUGCAUUGUAAUUGACAAAAU